AAAAAAAAAAAAAAGGUAUACAUUAUAAUAACAUUUUGACACAGUCGAAAUUAUAUUCCUAACAUUAGUAAAAUAACAUUUUAAUAUUUUUUUUAUAGGUUAUGUAUUGAAAUUGUUGGAAAAUUAUUUCAUGUUUUAGCUGGAAAACGACAUGGAGAAUUAUAUGCAAUACAAGAUAAUGAGCUCCAUCAAAUGAAUUCGAAUGAAACCAAACUGUUUACCAUCCAAAUUCGAUUGUCGGGCAGAUAGAAAACGAAAAUUCACUCAUAGUGAACCUCGGCCUGCAUUUGUGAAACGGCAAAGACUCACUAUUAUCAAGGAAAUUGAAGAGACGACUAAAAAUGAGAUGUGUCGUAUUAUUAUACCUUUGCCAUCUUGUAGUCAAGAUGUCCAGCCACUUGAAAAUAGGUGUAGUAAUGACAAAGCCAUCCAAGUAGCUCCAGCACAGGAACACAAAGGCAAGGCAAGUGUGUAUUGCCACAUCACCCCUUAAUAUAUCUGAAGCAAGUAUAAGUAAACAAUCAGAACCAGCAAAAAAAAAAACUGUUGUUCCUGAGGACAAAUUUGACAGUGAUGAGUCAAAUGCACCAGCAACAGAAGGAUCAACUGUUGAUUAUGAGUUAUCUCUCUAUAUCUCCACUCCAUCAAAGACUUGUGCACUUCAGACUAUAGCUCUCAAGAAGACUAAAAAGUUAAAAAAAUGAAUGUGUUAACAACUUUAUCUAAAGUGAAAAAUAAACAACGUUUAUAUAUUGGUCUUCCGCAAGAAUUAUGUUUCAUAACAGGCUUGAUUGAGAAACAUACAAAUGUUUCUGAACAAAAUAUUAUAUUAUGUCUGAUGAGAAUAACAUUAAAUAGAACAUUCUCUCAAUUGGCUGAUGAUUUCGAUUUAUCUGUAAGUCAAGCAAGCAAUAUAUUUUUCAACAAACUCCCAGAAAUUGCAAAUGUAAUAUCACCCCUUGUUAGACUAUAAAAAAAACAAUACAAUAAAUAUAUAUGCAGGAAGGAUAAUUGAUGUCAACUUGGUGGAAAAUAGAAAGUUUUUAGAUAGUUUGCCACCUACAAAACUCUUUAAUUAAAUAAGUAAUCCUUACUUAUAAAUAGGAAGUUUUGUAAGUAUUUUCACUCUUCAUUCAAAAACUACUGAACAGAUUUUAAUAAGACUUUUAUGCUGGUCUUCUAUGGCUAGCAACUCAUUAUUAUUUUGAUUCUGUUUUCCACAAAUGUGCUAAAUAUGGGCUUAUAUAUAUGAAAAGGAAUAAAUAUUAAUGUUAUGUAACCUUUGUACCUGUAUGUUAAGAAUAAUUUUUAAUAAAACAUAAUUUAAAUUGAAA